rnacentral:misc_RNA from 1 species
GAAAGCACCCGACGACCCGACAUUUAUAAAUCGGCAAGCAGGACAGUUUAAAGAUAUGCGAGAGAAGUACCACCGGACAUUUCUGUUUCUCAUUCCAUUUCUAAUAUCUUCAGUACAUUGCCAAUUAUCUUGUCAUCGAAUACCAACUUCAUUUUGUUGUACUUCAAGAAUACGGGAUCAAUGUCCAGAACAGUGUGCUUCAGUCCAAUGUGGCACUGAUUUUAUUCAUAGUUUAUUCUCAACUGAUGGUUCUCGACGGCCGGCACCAAGCGGAGCACACGAUGGGAAUGCAAAUAUUGGAGGAACAGGAAGUGUGGAUAAUUUGAGAUCUGCUUUCGGAUCCGCUGGAGAACCAUUUGUGACGUCACCUCCUCCAGCUCAACCACUCUUCCCUCAACAGACUCCACCCCCACCUGCAUCACCUCUUAUCAGUAACAGUGGAGAUGUAUUUGCAAGAUCAAGGAAGGAAAUAAGUGGAGCACCGGAUUCGGAGCAACAAUCUGGAAGUGCUGCGACAUUGAGUGGUUCAUCUCACGAAUGGAAGGUGUCUAUAAUUCCACGUGGACAGAAUAAAAAACCGGCAAAUGUGAAGUCAAUUCCACCAUUUACAAUUGAUGGAAAAGCUGAUGAGAGGUUUAAUAAAUUUUAUAGAACAAUUGACAGUGUGAUAAACAAUUUGGAUUUGACAAACGGAGGAAAUUUACACGAAAGGGAGGGUGAACCACAAAUACGAUUAGAGGGAAGCACUGGAAACUCAAAGGAUCUAUCAGUAGAAUCAUCUGCAGCUGUAAUAGUACCCCGUACUACUGUAGCUCCAGGUGUUACUAAUAAAGUCAGUGUAAUACCAUUCCGUCCACUACACUUUACUGCUCCACCGAGAAACGGUCCACCAGGAGUUGCUCCGCCAAAAGGAGCAGCUGGAAAUGAACAAUGUGGUGUUUCUCCUGAUUUUACUCCGUGUGUUAGCAAUGAAAUUGCGAGUAAAUCACUUUUAGAAUGUUGUAAACGAAAGAAUUUACCUGCUGGAUGUCAACAAUUAUGCAGAUAUGAUAUUACACAGACAGAGAUCCGUGCUGCAAUGGACCGUGGACAAUGUGGAAUAUUUAACGUGGCUCCAUUCUUAGAAUGUGCAUCACAGGGAAAAGAUAAUUCAGAGUGUUGUAGGCACAGGGGAAUUGUUCAGAAAACAGGACCCCAAUGUGAGCAAUUCUGUCGUCCGGCUCAAGGACUUUCAUCUCUUGGAGUUCAGCAUAUUGUAUGUGGAAAUGCAGUUGGUGAUAUGCUUCAUUGUCAUCAUUCUGGUGUUCGAAUUUAA